rnacentral:rRNA from 2 species
CGGCGUGCCAAUACAUGCAAGUCGAACGAACUCUGGUAUUGAUUGGUGCUUGCAUCAUGAUUUACAUUUGAGUGAGUGGCGAACUGGUGAGUAACACGUGGGAAACCUGCCCAGAAGCGGGGGAUAACACCUGGAAACAGAUGCUAAUACCGCAUAACAACUUGGACCGCAUGGUCCGAGCUUGAAAGAUGGCUUCGGCUAUCACUUUUGGAUGGUCCCGCGGCGUAUUAGCUAGAUGGUGGGGUAACGGCUCACCAUGGCAAUGAUACGUAGCCGACCUGAGAGGGUAAUCGGCCACAUUGGGACUGAGACACGGCCCAAACUCCUACGGGAGGCAGCAGUAGGGAAUCUUCCACAAUGGACGAAAGUCUGAUGGAGCAACGCCGCGUGAGUGAAGAAGGGUUUCGGCUCGUAAAACUCUGUUGUUAAAGAAGAACAUAUCUGAGAGUAACUGUUCAGGUAUUGACGGUAUUUAACCAGAAAGCCACGGCUAACUACGUGCCAGCAGCCGCGGUAAUACGUAGGUGGCAAGCGUUGUCCGGAUUUAUUGGGCGUAAAGCGAGCGCAGGCGGUUUUUUAAGUCUGAUGUGAAAGCCUUCGGCUCAACCGAAGAAGUGCAUCGGAAACUGGGAAACUUGAGUGCAGAAGAGGACAGUGGAACUCCAUGUGUAGCGGUGAAAUGCGUAGAUAUAUGGAAGAACACCAGUGGCGAAGGCGGCUGUCUGGUCUGUAACUGACGCUGAGGCUCGAAAGUAUGGGUAGCAAACAGGAUUAGAUACCCUGGUAGUCCAUACCGUAAACGAUGAAUGCUAAGUGUUGGAGGGUUUCCGCCCUUCAGUGCUGCAGCUAACGCAUUAAGCAUUCCGCCUGGGGAGUACGGCCGCAAGGCUGAAACUCAAAGGAAUUGACGGGGGCCCGCACAAGCGGUGGAGCAUGUGGUUUAAUUCGAAGCUACGCGAAGAACCUUACCAGGUCUUGACAUACUAUGCAAAUCUAAGAGAUUAG